AUUCAUAUUUGACUGGAGAACCUGGACACGACUCUGGGAGGCAUCUUUAGAAUCCUACCUUCCACAGCCCUCUGGAAAGUGGAGCGUGGGCCCAGAAGAAGGUCCUGGGAUUUCGUAGUUUUCUUUUAUGCCAUCCCUUGCUUGAGGCCGGGGGCCUGCCUGUUUCACUUCUGUGGGGACCUACAGGCCACAAGAAGGCAGUGAGUACUGUGUGCCUGAACACCAGAGCAAAUGAGUAUCAACUUAUCCACCAACCUAAUGGAUAAUAAUGCAGGAAGAAGCAUUUCUGGGAAUGAAACCA